CCAGUACCUUAUAAAUAAUUACUUAAACUAAGAGAAAGAAGAAGUGAAGGAAAAAAAAAAAAAUAAAACCAAUACUGAAGUCUGUUAUUGCAAAAAUUACCCAGGAAGGUCCCUACAUUUUUUCACCUGCUGACACGCCAGCAACUUUCUUCCCACCUCACGAAUUAUAUUUACAGUUUCCUUGUGGUUUUUGCCCUGAAGUCAAUUUUCACUCCAGCAACUUUUCUUCUGUACUGUGCCUUGGCUCCUUAGGUCAUUAACCUCAAGCAAGGAACUUUGUCAAAUACUUUGAAACACCAAGUCCACUCUAUUUCCCUUGUCUGUCCUGGUGGCAAUACAGCACUUUCAAAGAAUUCCAGCAAUUUUCUGAGGCGUGACCUGCCUCUCCUGAAACAUGCUGGUAUCUUUGCAAUCUUUCAGCAAGCUGUGCUGUACCAAAUGUUCUUCCAUUUGAUCUUCUUAAAUAUUUACUCAACUGUUUCCAGUGACUCUCAUUCAGUUAACUGGUCUCCAGUAACUUGACAAACUCAGCCAGCUUGAUGAAUUGAUUGUUUGUUUUCCAUAAAAAUCUCAAAGUAAACAGUAAAAUAUAUUUUAUUCUCACAGCUUGCAGUUUCUCCUGAUGUAAAAAAUUGCUAAUCAUUCAGUGGCUUUGGGGAAAUAUGUUUGGUUGUGUGGUAGACGGAGUUGGAUCUCUUAAAGUACUAUCUGAGUGCUAACUUAUUAAAUAGCCACUGCUCACGUUUACUCUUAUGUGCAACAAAAAUACCAUUUUACUCAAAAAUGCAUUAGAAUUCGUGUUACCUGUGGAAAAGUGGUGAUCAUUCCAAAAUGAUAACGUGAUUGCUUUCUUAGCAGUAAAAUCCCUCAAGGAGUGGAAGCUCAGGAGGAAGUGGAAUGUCUUCUGUCAAAUUUAAAAUAGGAAGAGGCUGUAUAAUGUUAAUCCACUGGAUUAACUGCUGAUCUGAAUGGACAUGCUGGACAGGGGGAGGCAGGGAAUACCACUGGCCUUUACUUCAGGUGACCAAAGGACCAAUUAAAUCAGUGUCUGUGCUGCAAUGCCCAGGAAUUUUCCUCCAAAAUGAAGAAACAAGGUUUUUGAAUAUAUUUCUGGACCAGAUCCUCAGUGUUUUCUGGAGAUAUCAGUCAAAUCAUUGCCUCCAGUGCAGACCUCCUUCCCUCUCUCCUGCAGGGCCUGGCCCCUGCCUCACCAACACAGAAGAACAUUUUAAGUUGUAAGAGAAGAAAAUUUUUAGAGAGCUCUGUUCCUCCCCAUGUUCCCAUCUCUUCAAAGCUCGCAGGCAGUGAAGGCUCUCCUUUUACUUGAGCAUAGGGAAGUUUGAGUGUUUAGAUCAGAAAAUCCAAGCUUUCUCUCUGCUGUCACUGAGAAGCUUUGAAUGGCUGCAUUGUGAGGCUCUAACCAUAAUGUCCUAGCUGGUCAUUGAUCUUUUCAGACACACUCUUCUAACUGGGGCAUCCUUGUGGCAUGAUGAACGGAAUAAUAAUUUAGGAAGAAAGCAUACUAAAUCAUCCAAAGGCAGCUCCUUUGGUCUCCAAGAUGGUUAGAGCAGGGCAGAAGUUUUCUGAGAGGAGUAGGUGAGUGAGGGAUGCAGCAGCAAAACAUUGUGGAAGAGAGGAAACCUGAGGGCCUAAAAAUUCCUGCAGGGAGGGGGGACAGCACAUGUUUGGCAUCUCUAUGGGUGGUUUCUUGGACAGCAGAGAGAGGCUGGUAAGGAAGUGAAUUUUUUUCCUGGUGCUCAGCUUUUCAGCCUUUUCUUUCUCCUUCUCUGCCCUGCUCCCCCUCCUCUCAUGCCAUAGCCCUCACUGGCUUGCAAACUGAGCAGCAUUUUUCUUCCAAAGAUAAAAAAGAUUGAGGUCCAUCUCCUUUGCAUCCACCCCAAGGCCAAAUCUUCUCUUCCUACUGUGCUGCAGUGGGUAUAAUUUCACACCUCAAAGCAUGACUCUUGUUGUUUGGUGAUAAUUAAAUAAGUUUCUCUGAAGCUUACUCUAAUUUACUCCUGAAUUAGUACCAGUCAUUCUUGUUUGUUUGGCUACACUGGUUAUCCAAAAGUCACCCCAAUUAAAGAGAUGGCUCAAUCAAAUGUGUAUAGAUUAAGUAGGAUGCAAAAUUUUGUUGAUCAAAUUCUUUUUAUUGAAACUUUUUUUUUUUUUUACUUUUGUCAGAGACUAGCAUUUCAAUCAGGCUAAUUUUUUUCUCUAAAAUGUCAACACUCCUCUAUUUAAUUUUUCAGAAGCUGGGAAAUGUUUUCUUUUUUUUUUCCUUCAGCCACUGGAAAUUUAAAAUUUUCGUGGAUUUUUGAAAUAAAAUUUUAAAGGGAAAUGUUGAUACCAAUGGAAAGAAAUUUACUUUUUGAAAUACUUCUAGGGGACCAAAGUUCUCUUAAUUAGUUUUUAACAUGCUGCAGCUAUAAAGAGAAUUUGCAACCUCUCAUUUUGCAAACAGUAUAGAUAUUCUCCUUACAACUGCCUGUUUUCAUAUUGAUUUUUUUAUUUCUUGAAGAAUCUUACACUGUUAAUUCACUUCAGAUAAUGCGUGUAUGGAUACAGUAGUAUUGCAGAUCAGUUUUCUGAUGCAAGGGUUUGCUAAUGACUGUGGAAGAGAUUUCUGCAAGGCAAACACUGGUCCUGGGAGCCUGGGUGAGGGGAGAAAUUUAAGUGUUGUGUAGAUGUUGUAAGUGAGGUUAUGGCUAUUUUAUCUGUGGCUGGAAUGCUUUUUUAGUCCCAUUCUUGUAUUUCUGUUACAGAUGCUCCAUCCAUUUACAUACCUGAACACUUUCAAUACACUCAGCACAUACCUUUAACGGCCCACUCUGCAUUUUAAUCAUCAAAACCAUCUUGUGGUGUGGCCAUCAGCCUUCCAGUCAAAGGCUUCAAGUGGUGGAGGAUCAGAGACUGCCCAGUGGUACUGGAAAAUGUUGGCUUUCUUCAGCGGAUGCUAAAUCUGACAGAAAUCUGUCUCUUCCUUUUGGUGAAGAUGUGGCACACAUUUGGUUUCAGCUGUGUGUUGAAAAUCCCCAAAGCUCUUCUCACUGAUGCUACUGUCUCCACCAAUGCCAGCCAACAAGGUUGCACGUAAACAUUUAAAUUUUAAACAUUCUGUGUUUUUUUUCUUUCAGUCCUCCACUGAUUAGAACUUCCCCAUAUUCUUCCUCUGCUGGGUUACGAUUACGAUUCCUGUAAAGUCACAGCUGUGCUUGGUGGUUUUGCAGCAUGAGUAAAGGCAGGAUUCAGAGGUGAUAUUGCUGCUCUGUAUUUCUCUCUGUCAAAAGUUAUGGAUCCAUAUCAACACUGUGAAUGGCACAGUAAGAGACCUGCUUGCACCCGAAAUACAUUGCUGUUUAUUGUCUCCUUCCCCAUUUCUGUCUCCUGCAUACCAUUUCUUAGGAAGCUCCUCUUCAUAAUUCCUUCAAGAUUUAAUUUUGUUUGAGGUAAACAGAUACUAAUGUGCUUUCCAUUCCUGUAGACUCACUUUUGUUCAUGAUCCGUGAAACUUGCAUUUGCUCUUCUCUAAUAAUUCAGCAAUCCUUUUGUUCAUCCCAAUACUUUUUACUUGCGCCUGAUGCUUCCCUGUAUCUCUCCCGACAUAAAUUGUCAUUUUCACCUCCUGACAUUGGGAAAACUUUCCUGGCACAGGUAGAAAUAGUUAGGAGAGGAUGCAAAGUGAGAGGAAGGUUUCAGUUUUCCAGCCCUCUCCUUGCCCAGUGUGUGCAGACCUGAUGCACUUUGUUCUCCACAGUGUGUUAGGGUGUCCAUUAUCAACAAUGGAAGCUUGUUAACACAGUAGCACGGAGACUGUCCAUUAUUCCUCCUGCUCCUUUUUAAAGAGGCCAUUAAAAUAGAGGCAAGCUCCUUUCCCUACAGGUUGAAUUUUGAACAAAUUUAAUUUAUAUUUGUUAGGGAAACUUGUGCUGCUGGGGAGAAAAAAAAAAAAAAAAAAAAAAAAGCCAGAUUGACAGUUCUGGAAUAUAAAGUCCUUUAUUCAUCCACAACACAGGUAGAGGAAGUGGCUGUUUCGCUUGUCUUGCCAAUUUUUGCUCAUCUCUGACCUAGAGGUAUCACCUCAAGCUUGGAGUUCAUUCUCCACAUCUUUCUAAUCAUUGGGCUCUCUGCUGAGGUAGGUGCCAAUUAGCACAGGUUAUUUUAGUGAUGUGGACAGCUGACCAUUACAACGGGAUGGAAACCACGAAUUUUACUUUGUGCAAGGACAGUUCAUCAUCAUGGCUAUGUUGGACAAAUUCGUGCUGCUGUUCUGAAAGAGUUUGUCUGGGCUUGGGUGACAUUGCCAAGACAUUCCAGACAUCUCAGCCCCACCAGCUGUGCUGGUUUUCACACGGGAAAGGUCUGUGUAGAGUGUGCUGACAGUGAACCAGCUACCACAACCCUGAGCUUUGCUUCUGUCCUCUUUCUGUCCGAAGGUCUAAGUCACCCUAGUCAAGCCAGACAGUGAAAUAUCACUGUCUGCCUAGAGUCUUCUAGAAAGAAAGGAAAGAUGACCAAAAAUACCCAGGAGCAGCAAAAACACAUUGAAAACCUCAUGAAAGAGCUUGUUUUAAAGGAUCAUCCUGAUGUUUCAUGCUGGGGAAUGGUGAUGGUGGGUAUUUUUGCCAUCAGGCGGAGAGUUACUGCCUGCAAAACCAGGUGCUGUUAGUCCCCAGAAACCCAGCUGAAAGGGAAGAAUAUCAGGGUCUUGGUCAGGAAUGAAUGAGCUUGAGGUGAUCCCUGGUUGGACAUAUUCACUGUUUUUAGGUCUGAGCUGAAGUUAAUGCAUACAGAAGAAUCUGCUGUGAUUACAGAUGUGCCCUGCAUUGCUUGUUUGCACAGCAAGAGGCCAAGCAGUCCAAGGAGGCUUUGAAAUGUGCUUCUAAGAAAGCAAAGAAGGGGGUGGAGGAUGCUGGCACUCUUGGGCAGUGUUACUGACAUGCACACAGAGUUGCUCAGUCAAAGGAAUUUGCAGCCAAAAGCUCCUCAUUGAGCCUGGUGGGCAGUGGAAGCCCCACCUUGUUUGAAAACUUUGAAACAUCCCAGGCUAUAAAUCUCAUUCAUUUGCAUUUCUUUUCAGAGGAUGAGGUGGAGCGUGGAGGAUAGCAGUAUUGAUGAGGAUUAAACUAGCAAAUGGGAUGAGGUUGUGGAAUACCUAGUGCUAAGCCAAAGUGCUCUGCUUCUGAUACAUGUACCAAGUGAGAGGAGGAGGCUGCAUGUGGCAUGGUUCAGUUCAUACUGGAUUGUUCAAUUGUUUUCAUAAAGAUGGAGAGAAAUUGAAUCACCCUCGAGAAUAUGAAGUAUUUUCCUUUUUUCUUGAUGAAAUGUACAUAUGUAAUAUUUUACAAGUUUCUGUUUCUUAAAAUUAAUUUUGGCUGCAGAGGUGUUGUAUCUUGGUUUUGUGGGUGGUUUUGGCUUUUUUUUUUUUUUUUUUUUUUUUUGGUUGAAGUUUAAAAGCCCCACCUGUUGAAUUUGGAAAUUUCCCAACCUUUUUCCUGUUUUUAUCAGCCACACCCAUGACAUCGUGAUGUAAAGUGGACUCUUGGAGCGUGGUGUGUCAAUCUGACAAGUGUUAGAGACAUUGUUUUAUUUAAGCUGAUUUAUUUAGGUUUUUUGUUCAAAAACAACACCAAAAAUAUCAGACCAACCUUAAAGGAGAGAAUUUAAAUGGAGUUGUUUGUCUGAAUGAAAACAAGCAGGAAAACGUCCUUGACAACAAGAUGCAUUGUUCUCCUGCCUGGAGAAGGCAAGGCUUGGUCUGAAGCACUGGGGAGAGAAAUAGGUGUGGAGGAGCACACAUCUUGAUAGCUCCAUCCUCUAUCCUUCCCCAGAGUUCCUUCCAAAUGGAAUAAAGUUGCCUCCCACUCUGUCUGGUGUAAGAACGGUGCAUACGAUGAUAGAGCACAAAUCGGGCGAGGCCUCCCUGAGCCAGGGGAGAGAUUCCCCACCAAGUUACCAACAUACACUCCAGGCUUUGAAUGAACCUUCAGAACACAGCUGCAGCCAUCAUGGAAAUCUGGAAUAGACACUGACAGCUACCAAAAGAAUAUCUGUCUGUUCCUCUUCCUCUGGAAACUGCAGGCUGCACUAGAGAAGUCCAAGGGUGAGAGAAACUACAAAUGGAGAAGAGAAAGGACAUCUGAGAGUCUUCACUAAAUAAUCAGAAGACUGAUGGAUUUCAGACAAAGACAGGAGUUAUAUAACACAUUCCUCCUCUGUGAGUAAUCAUAUGCAAAGAUUGACAUGUUUGUGAGUGUUCCCAAAACUGAUCCUGGGCUUACUGUGGCCAUUCCUGCAUGAAAAAAACAUCAGUCAGAGGAAAAGAGGAAAAAGAAAGAGAGGGAGGAAAAAAAAGGAAAGAAGUGUGAUUGUGCUCCUAGGACAACAUCCUGAAUUUUUCCCUGGUGGACCCUUGCCAUUACCAUGGCAAAAUGCCUGGAAACUGCCGUUCUUUUCCACAAAAAAAUGUUUUGAAGGAAGAACAAAAGAAGUUUGAGCUUUUGGCAGAUCAUUGAAGAUCACUGUGUUCAGAUCCUCAGCUGGUGUAAAUCAAGAUAACUGCAAUAUUGCUACAGUAGUUAAAAACUGACUGACUUUCCCAUCUAUCAUGGCUUGCUGCUACGGGGGAAUAUUUCUUUACAGCUUAAAUAGAGGAAGGAAUUGCUUUUACUGCAUGUUGCAUGUCUUCGUGUUAAGAAAAUAUUUUUUAUCCUUAAUUGCUUAAGCUCCCUUGUGUAUAUAAGGUGGUGGUGCCUUCUGUCAUGGAGGCGUUUGCUGUGUGUGACACCUUGCUUUAUUUCUUUGGUUUGCUAGUUGAAUGACAUGUUAAUCUGCUGUGAAGGUGCAUAAUAGGAUCAAUGGGAAUCAGGAAGUAUGUUUUAAAUUAAAAAGAGGUCCUUUCUUUGUCUGAUUCAUGUUUCUGUAUUAUAUCACAGCAUGUGUGGCCAAAGAGUAUUCCCACUAGGCCAGGAUAACCUGAUGCUGGUCAAUAAUUAAAUAAUAAUCUGUAAAAUUGAAAGGCUUUAUGUUUCAGAGUGAAAGAAUGUUCUUGCAGCUAAUGGUAGUCAACAGGCAAGCACCCUGAGACCUCCAUACAUGCAAAUACCUCAUGAUCAUUCAGCUACAAGGGCUUGUAAAUCCAUUUUUACAGUUGCAGAAGGAUGAAGUCUAUAGACCCUCCUUUGCUUAUGAAUCAAGGUGCAGUGCAUCUGACUAUGCCACAGCACUGAUUUGGUUUUUUUUUUUUUGCUCUUCUACAUCGAGAGAAAUGUCUUGGGGAAAUUAAACUCAUCUGAACUAUGUCAGGAAUUGCAUGUGACCACAAGAAUUAGAUAAGCCUAGAAAAUUCCAUUAUCUGCUCAUACCACUCAUUAUUUGAUGGCCCAGUCUGGAUUUGUGAUGUUGUUGAGGUUUGAGCACUGAAGCAGGAGAGGCAGGAAUAUACCUCCACGUGCCUGUGUGGUGGGACUGAGUGGCUGAAUCAGCAGCAGUGCUCCACCUUCAAGUGAUCAGGAAGCAGACACAGAUCUCAGAGACAGACCCCACAUUCCCUUACAUCCCAAAUACACUCAGCUCUGCCCACCCCUUGCUGUGCAAGUACCUAAGGCUUUCCACAUCAUGGAAUACUGCAGCAAAAUUUAUCUCUAAAGGCGUUCUGGAAGACAGACUUCCAUUUAUGUUGAGGAACGUUACUCCUGGUCUGCAGCCCAAGUGCCGUAUCCUGUUUAUACAUGUAUUCACUUGUCUGUCUUCUCUUGAUAAAGGGUAUUAUUUCAGGAUCAUCUAGCAGCUGAUUUGAUUAGCUGUGUUAUCUUCCAGAGUGCUCUAAUGCUGCUCUGUCCCCAGACCAAGGGAAUGUGAGGUUGCCAAGGUAAGAAUCAUAGGUAGCAAAUAAAAUACCAUUGAGACUGGGAGAAUUGGAUUCUGGUAAGGAGUAGCAGCCCUCUGAACUUCCACUUUUCCCCAGGACUGUCCCAGAUGGCACUGUGCUGAUGAAAGGAGAUGAGGUGGGUCCAUCAGCUAAUCCAGGAAGGAGAUCUUCUCCCUGAGGAAGCCACAGCUCUGCCUUCAGCUGGCAGUGGGCACUGACUGGUCCAGUGCUCACCCAAAGGUCACCUCUGUGAUGAGCAUCAUUGUGAGGAACACUGUGUAGGCUCUUUUAAACCCCUUGUGCUGAUAGAAAAUGCCAAGGCUGGGAGAAAUCUCCCCCAGAUUGUUGUUUUAAUACAUAUGGAAUUAAUUUUUUUUUUAACAAGUGUUGCAUAUUCUUGAUUAAAUAUAGUUUUCAAAAUAA